UUUCCGUAGGUGAACCUGCGGAAGGAUCAUUAAAUGUAUAUAUAGCACUCCUUCUGGAUGUACUUAUACAAACCCACUCUGUGUACCUUACCUGUUGCUUCCGUGGUGCAGUGGAUUCUGUCCACCCCUGGGCCUUAAAAACCCGGGGAGUCGCCACGAGAAGGUCAAUGUAAACUCUUGUUUUUUUUGUUUUCUGUCUGAAUAUGUUUAAUUUAAAAAAUUAAAACUUUCAACAACGGAUCUCUUGGUUCUCGCAUGAUGAAGAACGCAGC
rnacentral:misc_RNA from 1 species